GACGAACCGUGCAAACGUUGUUCGGAAUCACUGGGCGUAAAGGGCGCGUAGGCGGCCUUCUCAGUCGGGUGUGAAAGCCCGGGGCUCAACCCCGGAACGGCACCCGAGACGGGUUGGCUGGAGACCGGGAGAGGAGGGUGGAAUAGCCAGUGUAGAGGUGAAAUUCGUAGAUAUUGGCUGGAACACCGGUGGCGAAAGCGGCUCUCUGGCCCGGUUCUGACGCUGAGGCGCGAAAGCGUGGGGAGCAAACAGG
rnacentral:rRNA from 1 species